ACCAGACUCCUACGGGAGGCAGCAGUGGGGGAUAUCGCACAAUGGGGGGAACCCUGAUGCAGCGACGCCGCGUGGGUGAAGAAGCGCCUCGGCGCGUAAAGCCCUGUCAGCAGGGAAGAAAAUGACGGUACCUGAAGAAGAAGCCCCGGCUAACUACGUGCCAGCAGCCGCGGUAAUACGUAGGGGGCAAGCGUUAUCCGGAUUUACUGGGUGUAAAGGGGGCGCAGACGGCGAUGCAAGCCAGGAGUGAAAGCCCGGGGCCCAACCCCGGGACUGCUCUUGGAACUGCGUGGCUGGAGUGCAGGAGGGGCAGGCGGAAUUCCUGGUGUAGCGGUGAAAUGCGUAGAUAUCAGGAGGAACACCGGUGGCGAAGGCGGCCUGCUGGACUGCAACUGACGUUGAGGCCCGAAAGCGUGGGGAGCAAACAGGAUUAGAUACCCCCGUA
rnacentral:rRNA from 1 species